UGCCAUGAGUUUAUCCAGUAAUCUCUCAUUCGUCCGAUCUAUUUUUAUCUUCCUGGUUGUUUUUCCUAUGGGAGCAGUUAUGCACACUCACAAACUCUGCCACUGGAAAAAAGCAGCAUUUGAAUCAAAUUUAUUAUUGUUAAUGUUUUUGAGAUUAUUUCAUGAAUCACAGGUUGCAGCCAGCAGUGGAAGAACGUCACUGCUGACAUGGAGCUGACAGUCCUAGUCCCAUUUGCAAAGUAAAGCAGCCGUUACCCCUGCCACUGGCAAUCUGCGGCCAGGAGCCAACCCACUCACUUUCCCAGUCCCUAAACCCUAAACAGAGAGUGGGUCAAAAGGGUUGGAAAAAUCACCUGAUACAAUUUGAUAUCCCUGUUGUUUUUUCUGAGCAUUUCCUCCAUUCUCCUGAGGUGACCUGAGCAGAAUGAAUAUCCUUUCUUUAAAAAAAAAAAGAACAAAACAAUGAGUAGAGUGAAACAAUACUUUUCCCGUCUGAUGCCAUUUUUCAUGAAGGCCUUGGAUCUUCCAACUUGCCAAAUGCAUGUGAAAAGAAGGAUGAUGUUUAUGUUAUUUAUGUCCUUCAAAACCAGUGGACUAACUCCAGCUGGUGCAAACUGCCAGAACCCCAUUGACUUGAGGGGAGCUAUGCUGAUUUUCAUCAGCAGAACAUCAAGGCCAGUGUCUGCAGAAGCACUAUCAUUGCUUUUUUAGCAGAAAACAAGUGACCAGAUUAUGGUCCUUCAGUAGGAACAGAAAAACAGAUUUUUUUCAGCUCUUUUUCUAUGUAUUUGAGGGCAGAGAAGUAAAGAGGGAAAUAUGGACUCUGCUAAAAACUGUUGAGAUUCUUGUGGGUGCUUCAGAGAAACUGGUAUACAGUUAUGAGGCCAUUCUCUUUGCUGGCAAAUUAACAGCUUAGAAAAAUUAUAACAGGGAAAGAAAGAAAGAAGACAUGGAAAUUCUGUUAAUGAAACAGAACAAUGAAAAUCAAAGUUAAAGAUGGAAGGAACGGAGUGGGCCCCAUCCAGUUCAUUGCCUGCUAGGCUGGAUUUCUGCCUGUAGUAAUUUAUGCCGUAGCCUUGGAAGUGAAAACAGAUUUCAUUUACUACUGAACAGUACGACUCUGUGUAGACAGAGCUCAUGGCCACGCAGCAUUUCAGAGACGGUAUUGUGGGAUUAUUGCUCCCACUUUGCAGAUGGGAAAGGUAAUGCCCGUUAAACUCUGUCAGUGUCAGGCUCCAAUGACAGGGCAGGAGGAUUAGGGCUCGGGUGCCUUUGAGAGCUGUCCCUCAGCUCGUGCUGUCACUGCCUGGCCACCGUUUGAAGUGUUGAGGCCACAGAGGUCCUGGUGAGGGGUGGGGUUGGUGUGGGCCAGGCUCUGCGCAAAGACCUCUCCUUCCCCAGGGGUUGCCACUCAGCGGGUUGGUGGCAGAGCUGGAUGUGAGAUGCUCCCCUGCCAAACGAAAAUGAACUUGCAGCUGUAGCUGCACAUUAAAGGAGAAAAAGAAUCUGAAACUUCUGGCUUGUUCUUUGUUUUUCACAAUUUGUUGCUCUCGUAUCAUGGAAAGCCUGAAAAGCAGCCUGCCCUACCAUGUAAGACCAAGAUAGCUGAAUGGCAGGUCCCUGCUUGCCUCACAUCGCCACUGCUGCACGGCUUCCCUCAGAGAGGCUUGGGUGUGAGAAACGCACACGUUCUGCUGCAAAAUAGCAGAGAGCAGGGACAAUCUGCUGGCAGAAACCCACACUCUACAGACUGACCUGUGGGAGGAACAGUUUGUCAAGGGCUUGAUCCAAAGCCCGCUGAAGACAAUGGAAAUACUCUUGCUGACGUCAGUGGCCUUUACAUCAAAAAGCCCGAAAAGCCCAGCAUGGAAGAAAGAGUAGUAAGGAGAAGCAAACUCCUCUAAUCAAAAGAUACUGCUAUUUGAGGGUCUUAAACAACAGCUCACUGGGCCAUGGUGAGCUGCUUUGGACACUUUUAUUUGGUAUGGUAUAUAUCUUAUCAUCUUUAUCCUGAAACUUUUAAUGCAAUUUAUCUCACUGGAGAAUUUGGGAGAACAUCUGCUGCAAAUGAUGGGUAAAGACAUAAGCUAUUGUGGGUGGGGUGAGCCUCAGGAGCCUCGCAGUUUGGGUUUGGCUUCUGCUUCGGAUUCUUAUCUGAACUAUACAGAUCUCCUGUGGCUGCAAAAAUUGGACUGGAAAUCACAAGAGUACAAGACUUCUUGUGAGAUUUCCAGCACUUUUCUUAUGGUUUUGACUGAACACCAGAUGUGGAAAAAAUAUUUAACAAAACUGGAUGCAGUUUUUUUGUCUGGUUCUAAAAAGGGAUGAAGGUUCAGGAAUCUAAUUUUAUCCUUUCCAGUUUUGCUCAUUGGUAAGAUUCAGUUGUAUUUAAAAAAAAAAAAAUGCAAUUUAAGCCCAAAGUGUAGCUAUUGCAACCAGUCCCUGAAGAAUCAUUCAAGUAGAUGAAACUCUAAACAUUACAUUGACCGUGAACAAAAUUAAAACCUUAUGCCUCUGGCAAGUCGAGUGCAAAGAAGGAACAGGGUAAAUGGUGACCAUUAGGAAACAUCCACUAAUAUUUUUUUCUCUUCAGAUAUUAUUUUUAUUUGCUUUUCAUGCAAAUUUAUUUGUAUCUUUUGACCCUUUCAUGCCUGCUGUCAUUGAACAUUCACACUCUUAGGCUUUUCCUUGCACAGAUAUUUCUCAGAAUACUUGAGCUCAACUGCUUAAGUAUUCGCCAUGUGUAAAUUUUAAAUUCUAUGCCUGACUAAAAGAUUUGCUUUUCCUCAAAUAGACUCUUCAGGCUAGCUACACAACCCUACAGUCCUGUUUUGGCGGAAUACCACUGUCAGGAUGCUAAGUCACUAACUGGUGGCAAGUUCUUCUAAUCAGCCUGUUUCAUAAGCUCAUUUUGGACAUCUCACAACUAGAAAGGAGAUGGUUUUGUCUAACGGUUUACUCUCCUGUCUCUGAUUUUACUGCCUACUGACACUUUUAAACUGGUGGUCUUUCAUGAGAGGUAGAGAAAAGAUAAAGUUUGUCCCUUUAAAAGUGACUGGGCAGGGGGGGACUCACGCGACUAUUCGAAGAAUCACAGUUGCCUCUCAAAUUUUAUGUUUCAGUUUGGACGCUGGAGCGUGUUUGUCGCUGUGGGGUGCAUAAAGGCCAGAUGAAAAGGAAACUGAGGUGGCAUUUCUUUUAGACUACUCAUUUGAUGUCAAAGAAACGUCCACUGGGGUCGACCCUCCAAGAUAGAUACCGUUUCCUUCUCAGUGCAGGUAGAAACACGACCUGGGAGAGCGCGGCAAGAGCCUGCAGAAAAUGGACUUAGUGAAACUAGUCAAAAAGACAAAUGGGUCUGGAGUAAUGGACAGCCCAAGACCUUUCUAACUUUGAGGAAUGAAAAUCACCGUCAAAAAGGCGGCUGUGCUGAGGAGGGUUAGACGCACGCCAGGAGCGGCUGUGCUGCCGGCGUCUCCCGUGCAGAUGUACAGCCAGGGAUCCUGACGGAGCACACCGGCAUUCGGUGUCCCCGGGAAACAACUCCUCGGAAGCAGUGCUCCAGAAACAUCACGGCUCUCACUUUUUGUAAGAAUAGAUGUGAAUGAGGACGUUCCUGUGGCUGAGCACGCUGACGGCAAACGGGAACGAAACAGCAUUCGGCGAUCUCUGCUGCACCGGCGACACCAGAGACAAAACAGCAAAACUGGGAUUGUCUCCUGGACUCGGUCCGUGGCUGCGACUCGGAGGAGCUGCACAGUCAAGGCAGCACGAGUCUUUCUCUCUUAAGUAAGAGGUCAUUCUGUGUCGUACCAGAAGGUGCUUUGUUCAUCCAUUAUGGGGCCGUCCUUCACAGCUUUAAUCUGCAUAGAGAACAUCACCCAAUCCUUCCAUUCUCUCUACACGUAAUUUGACAUUGCUCAACUCCACCUGUUCCCUGUCGAGGAAAUGCAGGUUCAGCCAGCCGGAAGACGAAGGACCAGGUGGGGAUCCGCUGCGUUAUUGGGACAUCCUGCCCGGAGCGGUGGCCUGCCGUUAGGAGCCCUGCGGAUGGCGGAUAGCGGGGACGAGCCCUCAGGCAGCGCUGCAGAACGCCUUCCCAUCAACUUUGAAUCAGCCCCUGCAGCCUUGCCGUCUCGCAAGAAAACUUAGUUGCUCAUGUCCAACGAAACACUUCUGCCUGGCUUGACACCCCCACACACCCAUUACCCUGCCUCUGACAGCUCAGUGGGGCGCCGCUCGCCAGCUCUGCGAUCGGGGAAGGUGACGAAGCUGGCCCAGCGGAUACGGAGCGCGAGCCCUUGCGGCUCAUGCCUUCCUCGGUCACCGCACGGCUCCUGGGGCUCCUCACCAUGGGAAUUUCUAUCUCAUCGCCAUCUUGUGGCUUUCGCCAAAAACACCGGUGUUACAGAACUCCCUCCUCAGCUGGGAAGGCUUUAUUGCAUGAGGGCACCUAUUAAAAUGCAGUAUCUACUAGACAUGAGGUACAUGGGCAGUUCCAAUUAACAUUGCAUAGCUGGAUCCGUCACAGUGGAGCUGGCCGUUCUCUGCCGAGAAGGCAAAGCACCUUACAGAGCCGCUCCGCAGGGGCGAUGGGGAGAUUUCAAUUGCAAUUUGUGUUUGCAUGGCAUCGUUCCAGAUUUUUUCCCGGCAGAGCCGCAGGGUCUCUGGGAGCGAGGGGUUAUUUGCCGUGCUGGGCGGGUUGACACAGCCUUCCCCGUGCCCUGGGGCAGCUCGCCUGCGGGAGGAUUUGUUCUUGCCCCUGUUCUCUGCAGAGCUGUUGUGGCCAUGGUGUGAUCAGCAGAUGGGACGUGUCCGAAGGAAGCAUUUCCCGUGUUCCGCCGGGCUCUGCACGUGUGUGACAGCGUGUCUGUCACUCGGAAAGCUCAGCUUUCCCUUUUCCGUAUUACAUUUGCUCAUGCACGCCAGGUUGCUCACUCUCCCGGUGUCACACAAGCUUGGGAAUGCAAGAGGUCUUUGCACCUUUGCCAGAUGGGCUUUGGUUUUGCAAAUGCAAAGCCAAGGAUAGGUCAGCUCCUGAUCUCCUCUGGCUGCAGCAGGGAGUUUAGGGACAAACUGGGUUUGCUGAUGGUUGCAGUUUGGGACAAGCUGCAGUUGUGUCCCUGAAGGUUUAGCAUGAUUUCGAUGAGGAUGAGGAGACACUGGAUUGCUGGCUAUGGGGUAGCAAGCCCACCUCCAGGUUAUGAAGCAUACUGUGAAUGUUAUUUAGAGUUGGAUGUACAGCACACAUAUAUAAGCAAUUGCAUUUUUGUAAAUGUAGUUGUUUUUCACGUCAUUUUACUUCUCUGAUUAGUUUGAGCUGCACUGAAACUGUGAAGGGCAAAACCCGGAUUUAUGAUGUUUAUUAUACUGUAAUACUGGCACGGGUACUGGCUUGGGGACCGGUCACUUCCUUUGACCUAUAUUAAUGUUCCUAGUUAAAUAAAGAUGCAGUUUUUUGCAAAGACCUGCAAACAUGUUUAGUCCUGUGGGCAUGCCUUGCACCUAUGGUUUAUAAAAGUCUGCCAAGAGCUGGGCACUGUGAUGCAGUUUAACAGGACCCAGCAGCCUUCACCCCCGGGUACAGAAAACUCCAGACCUGUAAAUCAGCUCAGCGAGGCCGGGCUGUGCGGGAGCCCCCCUCCGCAGUGCCUGCAAGCACAGGGCUGUGACUGCAAGCAGGCAGCUUUGCAAGGCUGCGAGCACAGGGCUGUGGCUGCAAGGAGAGGUAUUUGCAGAGCUGCAAGCAUGGGGCUAUGAUUGCAAGGGGUGGGAGGAUUUUUUACAAGGUUGCGAGCACAGGGCUGCAAUUGCAAGGAGGGAGCACUGCAAAGCUGCAAGCAGGGCUGUUUGGACCCAGGCAGAGUCCUGAUGCUGCAGUGAACUUGGAUCUUGUUUGCACCUAUUAAACUCCAGCAUGAAACGGGGCUAAUUCAUGGGCUAUUUCUGCUUCCCCCAUUUCCUCAGUGCUGGCAAGUUUAUAGGGCCACGUGAGCCUGCCCAGAGCCAGUAGCAACCCGCAGCUCCACGGGAGCGCGGAGGCUGGGGAGCCCUCGCAGCUGGGGCUGGGAGAGGACCUGGGACGGGCAGAGGUUUACGGCUAUGGUUCAAUAAAAGCCAGGCUGCAACUGCAUCACAUGGGGGUCUUGCAAAUUGGCUCUUGAAGAGCACGUGUUUGGAUAUAGAUCUCCCUUUUGGAAAAACAGUGUGUCCGAUGGGCAAAAAGCCAACAGACCUGCCUUGGCCUCUUCUUGGAAAAUGAAGAGAAUGAAAAGAUGCAGCAAGGUACCAAUUUCAGUGCCUAGCUGGAGAAAAGUUAGUGUGUUGUGCAAGGAUGACAAAAUAUAAUGUAUUUCAUUAGGCUGUAGUGCAGACAAGAUCGGAUCUUUCAAAACUGUUGUUUGCUUGGCCCUCUGCUUUCAAAAAUAGUAACCCUUUGACACUCUUAAACUUGAGGUUUUUGUACUUAACUGGUCUAUGAAAUGUGCAACCCUGGCAGGAAAAAAAAAAAACAAAACACUAAAUAAAGAAGACAUUUUGGGGGCUGUUCUUGUCAAGCUGGUAGCGUAUUGCAUAUACUGAUUUGAUGGUGGCAUUUAGUUAAUCUGUAAUCUUACUUAAGAAAGAGUUAAUUGUUAACUGUGAAUAGUGCUUCAGUCCCUAUAGGCACCAGUCUCCAAAGGGGGACCGCGGGAGACCCCGAGGAUCUGUAAAGAAAGAUGGUUGAUGGAUUCACUCUGUUAGGAAUGAAACACUGCAGCUUUCUCUUGGAGACUGUGGCCAGAGGGGUUUUGGCAGUGGGGACAAACUGACAAGUCCUGCUCGAGAAGCACCAGACUUGAGCAGACCAGCCCAGCUCUUCCAUCUCUUUCUAUCCUGGGCUCGCUCGGCCAGCGCUGGGGGAUCCAGCCCCACAUGCUCGGCUGGGAGCAGAGGUGGCCCCAAGCACGCCAAAGUCGGCCGGCCCUGAGCAAACCUGGUUCCCCCAGCCCGAAAUCUGAUCUGCAAACAUGCUAACGACAACUCUUCAGUCCGAGCAACUCAGCCGGUCUGGUCAAAAUUUCCCCAUGGCUGUUUCAUCUUCUUGCAAAUGCACUAUGUCUUUGCACAGUAUCUGUGCCCCUGGAUUUCCUCAGCUAGGCGAAGGAGACCGGGAAUGUUGAACCUUAGCCGGCAAUUGGGAAAUUGCCCCCUACUAAUACAAGCCAGACCCGUGGAAACCCUUCAGGUCUCCAAAGCCCUCAGCAGCCCCAUCAGGACUUUGAUGACGAAAAGCAGAAUAAAGGCGAAGAGAAAGAAGGCAAGUUUAAACAAGCCCCAACAAGAAGCAGCAGAUCUGGGGAUGGCCAAGUGAGCGGCUGAGGACAGCCCCAGCUGUUUGAACUGUACAGCCUGCCCUGGAGGAAGCUGAGAAACCAUGGGAAACACCUCACGGUCAAACAGAUGGAGAUUCCCAGAUCUCGCUGGGGCUGUGGAGAUACCGCAGUGUGCACGAAGCACCGGGACUUGCCCGUGCAGGGGGCACGUGCUGCCAGCCCUGGCCAUGGCCAUCAUGGAGAUGCCCCAUACAGGAGGGACUGUGGCUUUCUGGUUACAGUCAUCUCCUUUCCUGGGAAAAUCCUCCCAGAGACGUUUGCCAGUGACAACCGACGUUGCACCUCCGGUGCUCUGCUCCCCGUCCCUGCUCACCCCGUUUACCCCAGUCUCAGCAAAGCACGUGCUCCCACCUCCUGUGCUGAAGGAAAAAACGGAUCUCUCUCCCUCUCCCCCUCAUCUCCCCUCCGUUUGCUAAAUAUGUACCAGGGCUGGACUUGGUUGCACCCACUGCACCACACUCUCAGUGCCACUUCUUCUCCAACCCAAGGAAUUUCAGAAAUAAACCACUGCCGAGCUCGCUUGGGAGGGCUGCUAAGUGAGACACUGUUGUCACACUAGGGACCUAUUCUUAGGGCAACGCAACCAUUUGGCAAUGGUUGGGAUCUCGUGGGAAGCCAGGUGUGUUGGGAGGAAGCCUAAGCAAAGGGAGGACCUGUAAAGGGAGGAGCAGUACUUGGCACCCACCACCUUUGGAGGUAGCUAAUCUUUAUUAUUAUUAUUAUCAUUGUGCAUUUUAAAGCGGUUGCAAGAGGCAAUUCCAAGCUUACAUUUCAUUCCACCAUGGAGCAAGUUUAAAAACAAAUGAAAAACUUGUUACUAAUUCAGAUUUCCCUGAAAAGAAUGGAUUCCUUUCUGCCAGCUGCCUCUGAGAAAUGUUGAGAUUUAAUUAAUCCCUUGCUGGAAAUAAUGUACAGUAUUAGCCCUAAUCUCUAAUUCAGGAUAUCAUUUCUAAUGCUCAGCAUAAAGAAUGAGAUUUUUUUUAAACCUAUCGCUGGACGUGAACGUGUUACCCCUGGUAAGCAGUGAUCUGGCUGGUGCGAGCAGCGUUGCCCUCCACUGACCGGCCUACAGAGGACUCAGUAUUUGGGUAGAUGGAGUAUUUAUAUUCGCUGGUGGUUGUAUUUGGGACUGUAUUUUGUGCAAAUCAAGGACAUUGAUUUGUCUUAUGUUUCUUUCGCAUUCAGUCUUCAAUCUUCAAUGACAUCCACACCCUCCAAAAGCCUCUGCCUGGAGCCCGGCCGGCAGGACAACGUGGAAGACCCUGUGGUCAGAUAAAUGUCACCAACGCGGUGGUAACCAGAUGUCCUGCUGAUACUGGUAGUGAUGCCCCCUCUUAGGAGGUGGCUCCGCAAUGGCCCCACGUCUCCUCAGCUGAGGACGAGGGCUCACACCUGCCUUUCCCCGGUUCACUGCCAGGGUGAGGAUGGAGCGCUGUGGGAUCCUGGGUGGUCUCCUAACUUCCAGCCAGGAACCCAAGCACCCCUCUUUGGCAAGGGGGUGCCCCCCCAGUCCUCUGCCGGCUGCUUUGUGAGGGGCUUGGAGGGACAGGGCUCAGCAUGGAGCAUUAGCUGGGAAGUUGUCACGGGGCAAUGGGGAGGAAGAGGCGAUCAGUUUGCCCUGUGAGUCUUCCCAGCCCUAGCUUGCUCAGGGCUCAGUGUGGCAGGGGAGGGCAGGCUGCGUGGCUGCACCCAUGCCCUGAAACACGUGCUGCCUCGGGGGGGACGCGGCUGCAGCCUUUUAAGCUCAUCAGAGCCUCUACCACUUCUCCAGAGACUCCUUGGCCGCCUAAGCAUUGGGAGGAUUUCCUUCCCGGUCCCCAGAGGCAGCUCUGGCUGAGGCGUGUUCGAGCAGGAAGGCAGGCGCGGGGGUGCUCAGCCAGCCUGGGGCUGCGCGACCAUCACCCCCUUUGCAGAGCGACCAGCUGCGAUGCAGGAGCCCAUGCCUCUUGGGUCGUUUCAGUAAUAUUAUUUCUGACGUAGCCCAUCGAUCUGUCUUCCCCUGGCACCCGUCAUGUCGCUCCUGCUGCCAGCUCUCCCCUCUGCGCACGCACACGCACAGCCUCCCGCUGCCAAGCUCUUCCCUGUCCCCAUCUGCUCGGCUCUUCAGCCACUUCUCCUGGAAAUUGGUCGUCUUCCUUGCCUGAGGCUAUACAGAACAGGCUAAUCCCAAACCCAGUAGUGUCAAAGAAAGGGCUGCCAUUGACUUCAGCAAACCACAAGGAACUUAGCUGUUCAUUUCAGUUUUUUUUUUUUUUAAUAGAUGGUUAAAUAACCAGAGAAGAACAGGCUUAUCACUGAGGCACUUCAAAUUUUGUAAGUGAGCCUAACUGUGAUUUCUUUACCCCAUGAGGAUGCAAAAACCGAGAGGUUGUGGCAGAUUGACGCUCACUAGUAUCCUUUGGCUGGGCUUAUCUCCAUUGGUAUUUUGGUAGGUAACAUGAAAAGGUGGUUGAGUUUUGAAGGAGAGCUGCGGCAAUAUGAGUGCAGAAUAUCGAGACGUGCUCUGGGUCGUCAAGCGCAGAAUCCAACCAGAGAGGAUCAAAGCAAGAGGGUCUAUUUUUGUUUUUUUACAUGUACUAAUUACUCUGAACAAAUGAGCAAUGCAUCUGAGAAGUAAUCUUUUUUCAGGUUUCCAUCUGGUAAAAGUCCUGUAGGUGCUGUAACUUCAGAGUAAUUUCAAGCCUAUGCUUCUCACCGAAGACUCUGAAGUUGAAAACAGAGUCAAUCAGUGUGUGGAAGAACACAGGUUUAUUUUUCUGUCUCUUGUGUCCAUUCAGAAAACUACUAAAGCAACACGUUUCAGGGCUGUGAACACCUACAUCCAGUAAUGCUGGAAACGGCGGGGUUUAUAGGCUAUGGGGAAUCCCCUUUGCAUGGCUUUCACAUGGGAAAAGUGUUUCAGAGGAUCACUCCUCUGCUUCUUUUUUAUCUUCUUGCUUUAUCAGUUAGUCUGACAGGAGAUACGACCUCCCUCUGCAAACCUGGCCUCACGCAGAGAGAACAUUUGUCCUGUCAGGUGGAGGAUAGACACAUACUUUCACGCAAUAACACAAGAGCCCGUUCCUAUUCGCAGGGCUUCCCGCUCCUGCCUUCCCCGCGAUGCAUGGAAGAGGCGCCAGCAAGGCACAGAAAGGUAACAUCUCUGCUGGAGUUUUCCUGGGGAUCGUCACGAAGACUCACUUCAGCUUAGGGAAGCUGUUUUCCAAGUGCCCUCGCUAUUGUUGGUGGAGGGAGAUAGGUGCCCUUUGCGGGAGCUUGGAGCAAGAACUUGCUGUCUGGGUUCAUGUCUUGCUGCUGCAGGGCACCACGGUGCUGCGGUCCUUGUAGGUUGAGUAGCGACCCAUGGAGAACCAGGCCGAUGGGCUCUUUCUUCCUAUUAUCAGUGUCCUGCACAGCCCAUGCCCCGCACAGCAGUGCGUGUUACGUGCGGCAGAGGCAUGGGACAGCGUGAGCGAGGUCUCGCAUUAACACGCACUCACUAUGUUGCCUGCAAUGACAAAAUCACCCCUGGUGUUAGGUUUGGCCAGAAAAACCCUUCGGUGAAGACGGCUGUGGCACCGAUGCUUUGCACCGCUGCGCCAUGCCGCCCGGCUGCGCUUUCGGCAGGGCCAGCAGAGAGGAAGCAGGAGGCUUUGCCCGGAGCCACGGCGAUGUCCACAGCAGGGUCUCCUUUUUUGUGGCUCCACCCAGAGCACGGGAUUAGUUGGUAUCAGACAUUAGGAAGUGCUGUCUUUUGAGAGAAACCGAAAAUCCAAAGUUAUGACAUCUUUAUCAUUAAAACCCCCUUCUAAUGCAUCUUCUCUGGGGAUUAGGAAUAUUAUUAUCAAUUAUCCGAUGAAAAUCCAACCUCAGCUAUUCGUGUUUUCCUUACCUUGUCAUUUUAGGUAUCUUCUUUCACUUGCACCUCCUGCCUGCUUUGGCAAUGCAGCUGUGAUUAAACAGCUGCCACGUAACAUGCUAGUGAGGCUAUCCCGUGAGCAAUAAAGGGUAGAGGCUUUCUAUAUUAUAUUCAAGGGGUGCAACAGUACUAAAAGACUAAAAAUCUCUAUCACUUCUCAAUAAUAAAUGAAUUGCCCCAGGGCUGGAGGCUGGUUCUUUGGAAGGCCAGUGGUGAAUCUGGGGUGAAUUUCCCAGCUUUCCGUGAAGCUGAGGUUUUCACAUCAUUCGUGAGCUAGUUCCACCCACUGCAUCCUAGUGUCACGGACCUGCAGAAAGGAGUGGGAGCAGAAAGGGAGACUUCAGAGCUGUUGCAUGCUUUUCAGACACUGGUUGUUGCAGACUGUUCUGUGCAUCAUGCUGAACUUGUUUUUGUAUGAAAACCAGGGGCUGGCAAGAUUACAUUAAGUAUGCUGUGCUGGAAAAUAGGAUUUUUUUUUUCCCCCCAUGGAAAAUUUUGACUUCGUAACUAAGAACUUGAAAAUUUUAGCUGAAAACUGCAGGAUCCUUCCCCAGGGUGGCUUCUUGUUUUCCAACAAAAUUAAAAUAGCAUGGAGACAAACGGAAGCUUUGUAUUUUCAUUUAGAAGGAAAAUUUCCUACCAGUCCAAAUUCGUGGCAGUCUCUAGCCUAGCCUGCCUGCUAGUAGUCUCUCUGCAGGCCUCCAGCUCGGCUGUUGCUCUGUACAUAAUGUUUCCAGGAAGGCAAUGCAAGAUGUCCAUGGGAAGCGACUGCAGAGCGAGGAACGGACCAGGCUUGGCCACAUCUGCUUAUGAGCACGAACAAUUUCACUGGAGUAUUUAAAGUCACUUUGCCACAGAUCGCCUGCUUAGGCAUUGAUGGAGAUGAGACACCCUUAGUUACUAAAAAAAUAGAAAUCACUCACCGGGGUGUAACUGGCAAUAGUCUGAUUCUGAGUGAGAAAGCUUUUUUCCUGAGGUUGAGAACAUUUUCUGGAAAUGUAAACUCUCUAACGCUUUGAUGUUGAAAGAUUGGUUCGGCAGCUGUGAUUUGUGUUGGAGGCUGAAUUCUGUAAGUUGCUUUCUCCAACCUCCAUUUCAGUGUAUGAAGUCAGCCCCGCUACCAGGGGUCUCGGGCAGCCUUGCCGUGCCCAUCCAUCGCGCUCCGGCUGUCUCGGAGCCCGCCGAGCGCUGCCCGCGGGGCGAAACGGUGAUGCAGGACUGACCACUCGCGCUUCAGCUCCCCUCUCUCUCUUCUCGACAGCGUGAGGUCCUAAAUCCAACAAAACCAGGCUCAUCUGGACAGCAGAAGCAAGAUACAUGGCCGGAUCUGCACAGGUGCGAACUCACCGAGGAAAAUCCAGCUACAUCACUCAGUGACCUAAAUUUAGCCCUAAAAGUGAUGCUCGUGUCUCUCCUUUGUUCACAUCUAAGUAACCAGGGCCAAAAAAAAAAAAAAAAACCCCACCAGCUGCACGUGGUGGCGGAUGAAGAAGGGAAGUUUGGGAACCGUUGUCUCCGGUGUUUUUGCCCUGAGCGCGCUGGCAGAAGCUGUGCUGAACUGUGCUGUUUGGUGGCCCGUCCCGAAACGGACUGUGUAAUUCAACAGCGCACCGCACACGCGGCUCCCCUCUGCAGCCGUGGCCCGGCCUGCCGCCCAGAGCGGCUGGAUCCGCAAUUUGGGGCAAAAUUGGCUUUUUGUCCUCGUGGAUUUAACCCCCUGAUGUUUUCUCGGGCCGGCAGAAGUUGUUUGCGGAGCUGCUCGGGAGCGCUCGCUCUGCCCGGCGCCCCAGUUCGCCUGUCCCCGGGGGCAGCUUAGGCGGUUGUCACUCCGAGUCACACCUGUUAGCUAUAAAAGCAGGCGAGGAACGCUGUCUUUUACAAGGGCAAAGGAUCCCCAGGCAUCCCGGCUCCACAGAGGCAGCUUUCUUCUCGCCGGAGCCCCGCUGCUGGUAACGCCACCGUUGCAAAGUGCCACGCUGAGCUGCGGGCUGGCGUCCCUUCCGAAUGAAAAGCGCUUGCAAGGCUCCAGCCAAAAUAAAAAGGGGAAGAAAGUUCGUUAAACGUGGUUCUGGAGUCUAAUUAGCAGUCGCAUUCAGAGUCUCCGAAGGCAAGUGGUGCAUAAUAACAUCCCACGGCCGGGUCAGCGCUGUCGAGGCAGGAAUGUCAUUUCUUUCUAAUUGAAAGCCAGCGCUCUCGCUAGCGGGGGGACGCACCUGGCUCGCUGUAUAUAAAUGUUCUCUCUUUGAUCGUUUUUCUUACUGCUGCUCUUGUAAGCUGUUCUUUAAAGGGAAAAACAGCGCAGAAACAGAGGAGCAGGUCCUCAGCAGAUGUCCGUGGCGGUGGCUGGGCUGCCCCCGGCUUGCACCGGCCGAGCCCCGGCGUCUGCCACGCGCCGAGAGAAGAAUCGCAGCACAUCCACGCCCGGCACCCAAGGACAUCGUGGGACCGUCUGCGCUGGCCCUCGGUGCCGCGGCGAAGCGGGAGCGACGCGCUGAGUUUGCCGGUGGCGAUGCCCGGGGGUGACGGCUGGGACCGGCCAUCAGCCGCGUUGGCCGAGCCUUGCUGCACGGGACCCUGCGCCCGGGAAAUGCAGCCCACCGCUGAGCACGGGAAUUACAGAAAUCGGCUAAUUGCUCCUCUCCCGGUGCCCCCGGUGCAUAGUUUGGUGUCUGAGGCGGGUUUUUUGCUUUUCUCUGGAACAGCUGGAGAUGGGAUGUUGAACAUGGUGUGUUAUUGCUCCUAGUGGUAUUCAAGGAAAACAUCUCGAGCGCUGGCUGGCAUGUUGUGAUUAUAUGUGAGGGGUAAAAUGAGUGCCAGAUUUGGGCUGAGGAAAGAGUUUUCCUCCAGAUCAGAUUAGCAGGAGCUGUUGGGGGAGCAAAAAGGGGAAGCCAGGCCUUUUAGGGUGGGGGAGCACUGGAUAUAAUCUGUCUCGCAGAAUUCAUGAGGCAUUUUCACUGAAUAAAUCCCCUGCU